UAGUUGUUGCGGUUAAAGCUCGUAGUUGGAUUUCUGUUGAGGUCAGCCGGUGUGGACUUCGUCCAUUAUUUGGUUUGGUCUUGGCAUCCUCCUGGGGAACGGUUCGUCUUCAUUGAUGGCCGAGAUUCAGGACUUUUACUUUGAGGAAAUUAGAGUGUUCACGGCAGGCAAGUGCUUUGAAUACAUUAGCAUGGAAUAAUAAUAUAGGACCUUAGUUCUAUUUUGUUGGUUUCUAGAGCUUAGGUAAUGAUUAAUAGGGACAAUUGGGGGCAUUCGUAUUAACGCGUCAGAGGUGGAAUUCUUGGAUUGCGUUACGACGAACUACUGCGAAAGCAUUUGCCAAAGAUGUUUUCAUUGAUCAAGAACGAAAGUAUGGGGAUCGAAGACGCUUAGAUACCGUCGUAGUCUAUACCAUAAACUAUGCCAACUAGAGAUUGGUGGGGUUCUCCUUUAUGGUCCCAUCNGCAUCUUAUGAGAAAUCAAAG
rnacentral:rRNA from 1 species